UCAGAAUAGACUGACCGACAUCCAAUUGCCUUGAGCUAUGAGCAGCAAGCAGAGAGAGAGAAAGGAGAAGGGUGACUCAUGCCUAUUUAAUGGCACCCAGAAAGGAACCCCACCUUUGUCCUGGGCCCUACAGGGCACCUGCUGACUGUCCUCGGCCAAACUGACUCAGCUGCCCUUUCGACUUAAGCAGCUCAGAUAGUGGGCGAAGGUCUGCUGCCGUUGUGGCUUAAUUAUAAUACUGUAUUGACUGGAUGAGAACUCUGGCAGCUUCCCUCAGCGGAAGGAUGGAAAUAAAUUCUGGAGGCAACUCGGUUGGAGAUGCGGCAGACGUCAGCGAUAUCAAAAUCUAAAUAAAGUUGUUUUUCUUCCUUGA